GUCCACGCCCUAAACGAUGAUCACUCGAUGUGUGCGAUACACUGUACGCGUCUGAGCGAAAGCAUUAAGUGAUCCACCUGGGGAGUACGACCGCAAGGUUGAAACUCAAAGGAAUUGACGGGGGCCCCGCACAAGCGGAGGAGCAUGUGGUUUAAUUCGAUGAUACGCGAGGAACCUUACCAGGGCUUGAAAGUUAGUGAAUGAUGUGGAAACAUGUCAGUCAGCAAUGACACGAAACUAGGUGCUGCAUGGCUGUCGU
rnacentral:rRNA from 1 species